CAAUUAGUUAAGACAUUUCUAGCUUCAACAUAUUGUGGAUUUACUUAUUUAAUUACAAUCAUUAAAUAGUUUUCUAAUUUAAUAAAGCUUCUAUUAUGUAGCACAACUGUGUUUGGAGUUUCCACAGAAUCUAUGCAACUAUCUUAUGAUUCUAGAGGGAAUAGUGUACCAACAAUUCUCUUGCUUAUGCAAGGCCACUUAUAUGCUCAAGGAGGCCUAAGGGCAGAAGGGAUCUUCAGGAUCAAUGCAGGAAAUAGUCAAGAGGAGAUUGUUCGGGAUGGCUAGGGAGAAGACUAUUUUCCAUGAAUUUUUUGGAAAAAAACAAUGGAGCAGUCUCAGUUGAUGUCAAUGGAUCAUGUGAGAGGGGUAAAUGUUGCAAACUUAGCUGAUAUGGAGCAAAGUCAUAUGCUUGCUAAUACAUUAGCUCAGAACAAUGAUCCUAAAUUUCAUGUUUGUAAGCUAUAGUGUGCUGCAACUCUAUGAUGCUCUUGUUUUCAACAUGAAGAUAUUCUUUUGCACGUGUUUAUUGCUUCUAACUUUCAUAUAUAUUUUUUCCAUGUCUUUUUUAGUGUGUGUGAUGAUACAAGUAUUGAUAAUAAUCAAUCAUAAAUGAUUCUUAUAUCUCUCUGUUUUCAGUUAUUGCAUGGGACGAAAAAUAAAGCACUAGGUCCCUGAAGAUUGGGUCUGUGAAUCUGGGAAGAGAGAUGAAGCUGUCACAAUAGCAAUGAGCAAGAGGUAAUUGUCAAUUUCACAGCUUCAUUCCAAGAAGAAAAAGCCAGUAGAAACUGGUAAAGUUAAGUUCAUUCCUCAUGAAGAAAUCCUUAAGCUAUCUUCAGAGACCUUCUAAUAAUAAUAAAAAAUUGUGAUGCUGUGAAAUCAUUCCUUGCUUGAAAAGAAAGCAUUUUUUUUUUGGUGUAGCACUCCUUGCUUUAAGGAAUACUCAAUGCUUCUUUGUGACUGGCACUUGUGGUUGUAGUUUUGAUAGUUUUUCAUGAGGGCCUCUUUGCUGUCUUUGUUGUUCUCUGUUUGUAGUUUUAUGUCUUAUAUGUACUAUCUUAGUCUGAGGCUGUCUAGACUGUAAUACAGUACAGGUGAUUUCUUAUCAUCUUUUUUUAAUACAAUCUUGUUUGGUUGGGAUUGAAA